rnacentral:rRNA from 1 species
AGUGAACGCUGGCGGUAGGCCUAACACAUGCAAGUCGAACGGCAGCACAGUAAGAGCUUGCUCUUACGGGUGGCGAGUGGCGGACGGGUGAGGAAUACAUCGGAAUCUACUUUUUCGUGGGGGAUAACGUAGGGAAACUUACGCUAAUACCGCAUACGACCUACGGGUGAAAGCAGGGGAUCUUCGGACCUUGCGCGAUUGAAUGAGCCGAUGUCGGAUUAGCUAGUUGGCGGGGUGAAGGCCCACCAAGGCGACGAUCCGUAGCUGGCCUGAGAGGAUGAUCAGCCACACUGGAACUGAGACACGGUCCAGACUCCUACGGGAGGCAGCAGUGGGGAAUAUUGGACAAUGGGCGCAAGCCUGAUCCAGCCAUACCGCGUGGGUGAAGAAGGCCUUCGGGUUGUAAAGCCCUUUUGUUGGGAAAGAAAAGCAGCAGGUUAAUACCCCGCUGUUCUGACGGUACCCAAAGAAUAAGCACCGGCUAACUUCGUG